rnacentral:misc_RNA from 1 species
GAAAUGCGAUAAGUAAUGUGAAUUGCAGAUACCGUGAAUCAUCAAAUCUUUGAACGCACAUUGCACUGCCUGGAACUCCGGGCAGUAUACCUGUUUGAGCAUCAGUAACCCUGUGACGACGCUACAUUACUGAGUAGCGCGACGAAGUGAGUGUUCACGCAGCGAUGCGUGUUGCUUUAAAUUCCACAAUGUUGUUAACAGCGCAGAGUUAAUAGGUUUCUCCCCUAAGCCUGCUGCUGUACCUCAUAAUUUACAUAGAUCUCAAAUCAGGUAAGGCCACCCGCUGAACUUAA